rnacentral:rRNA from 1 species
GACGAACGCUGGCGGCGUGCUUAACACAUGCAAGUCGAGCGGUAAGGCCCUUUCGGGGGUACACGAGCGGCGAACGGGUGAGUAACACGUGGGUGACCUGCCCUCAGCUCUGGGAUAAGCCCGGGAAACUGGGUCUAAUACUGGAUAUGACUCCACGGUGCAUGUCGUGGGGUGGAAAGCCUUGUGCGGCUGAGGAUGGGCCCGCGGCCUAUCAGCUUGUUGGUGGGGUGAUGGCCUACCAAGGCGACGACGGGUAGCCGGCCUGAGAGGGCGACCGGCCACACUGGGACUGAGACACGGCCCAGACUCCUACGGGAGGCAGCAGUGGGGAAUCUUGCGCAAUGGGCGAAAGCCUGACGCAGCGACGCCGCGUGAGGGAUGACGGCC